rnacentral:lncRNA from 1 species
AACUUUACCUACUAAUGUUUACUGCAACCAGGAGCUGCCCUGCACAUCACAACAAAGCCAUGGAGACAGCCGGCCUGCCCCCAUAGGGACAGCAAGGGUACGGAGAAACUACAUGAGGUCUUUUACAGAAGAAAGCUUUAGCCCGAAGAGAAUGUAAAAAAAAAGACCCGUUCUCGCCACUGUGUACUCACAAACUCUUCUUCUGUAACUUCUGGCGGCUCUGGAAGGAGACAAAACGUUACCUUUUCGUACUCAGAUCUUCCUUUUAGACUAACUGAAAUCAUCUGCGACAGCCCCUGGCGCUACUGUAUAUACAUAUAUCCCGGGUGAGCUCAGUAAAAUGUUCAUUAUCCGC